CCUACGGGGUGCAGCAGUGAGGAAUAUUGGCCAAUGGGCGCGAGCCUGAACCAGCCAAGUCGCGUGAGGGAAGACGGUCCUAUGGAUUGUAAACCUCUUUUGUCGGGGCGCAAAAGACGCCACUCGUGGCGUUCCGAGAGUACCCGAAGAAAAAGCAUCGGCUACCUCCGUGCCCGCAGCCGCGGUAAUACGGAUGAUGCGAGCGUUAUCCGGUUUUAUUGGGUUUAACGGGUGCGCAGGCGGAAGAUCAAGUCAGCGGUAAAAUUGAGAGGAUAAAGCGCUUCGAGCCGUUGAAACGGGUUUUCUUGAGUGAGUGAGCAGUAUGCGGAAGGCGUGGUGUAGCGGGGAAAUGCAUAGAUAUCACGCAGAACACCGAUUGCGAAGGCAGCAUACCGGCGCGCAACUGACGCUCAUGCACGAAAGUGUGGGUAUCGAACAGGAUUAGAUACCCUUGUAGUC
rnacentral:rRNA from 1 species